rnacentral:tmRNA from 1 species
CUUCUUUAAAAAGAAGCUUUUAUAAAUUAUAUUAAUUUUGUUGGGGAUAUCCUCAACUACGACGAUAAACGAUUUACGUAAUAACCAUUACGGACCCGGGGGCGGUACCCGGCACCUCCACCAAAUUGCGGGGGUGAAAUAGGAUCGACGGAUGCCCAAAGGUAAAUUCUUUCGUUCGGUAUUGUACCACCGUUAUCGGGCUAAAUUACAAAUGCUAACGAUGAUUUAGCGCUCGCUGCUUAAGUUUACUUAGGCAAGCGCGGUUUGGGAGGCACCGGGCAACAGAAGUCUCCCACU